GGAGUUGUAGCUCAGUGUUAGAGCACUUGCCUAUCAUGUGUGAGGCCCUGGGUUCGAUUCCCAGCACCA
rnacentral:tRNA from 1 species